rnacentral:lncRNA from 1 species
CCCAAUUUACGGUUCACUGAACAUAGAAAAUGAUAGUGCAAAUUUCAGGUUAAAGUUUUUGGUCAAGGUAGUUUUUGAUAAAGUAGAAGUCCAAUCAACUUGAAACUUAGUAUACAUGUUCCCUUUGAUAAGAUCAUUCUAAUUUUAAUGACAAAUUAGAGAAUUUAUUCCAAUUUCAUGGUCCACUAAACAUAGAAAAUGAUAGUGCGAGUGGGGCAUCCGUGUACUGUGGACACAUUCUUGUAUAUUUAUAUUAUACCCACCAAAGCCAUGUUAAAUGUGCCAACCCUUAAUAUUGUUAUAUAUUGAUAUUUUAAAGCAGGGAGAUUUUAAAUUGUAUAAGAUGAAAAACUUUUGUGUUGUGAAAUAGCAAUAAUGUCUGAAGACUAUUCCUCUUGUUUAAGAUAUCUACAUUUCAAAUAUUACAACUAUGAAAGCUAUUUCAUAUGAUGUGUGAGAAC